CUCCCGUGCCUACUGAACUGGUAUCAGUGUUUGACCUGAAAACUGGCUCAGUUCAGCAGGAACAGGAG
rnacentral:pre_miRNA from 12 species